UGCAGUCGAACGAUGAACCGGUUUCGGCCGGGGAUUAGUGGCGAACGGGUGAGUAACACGUGGGCAAUCUGCCCUGCACUCUGGGACAAGCCCUGGAAACGGGGUCUAAUACCGGAUAUGACACGCUCCCGCAUGGGAUGCGUGUGGAAAGCUCCGGCGGUGCAGGAUGAGCCCGCGGCCUAUCAGCUUGUUGGUGGGGUGAUGGCCUACCAAGGCGACGACGGGUAGCCGGCCUGAGAGGGCGACCGGCCACACUGGGACUGAGACACGGCCCAGACUCCUACGGGAGGCAGCAGUGGGGAAUAUUGCACAAUGGGCGAAAGCCUGAUGCAGCGACGCCGCGUGAGGGAUGACGGCCUUCGGGUUGUAAACCUCUUUCAGCAGGGAAGAAGCGAGAGUGACGGUACCUGCAGAAGAAGCGCCGGCUAACUACGUGCCAGCAGCCGCGGUAAUACGUAGGGCGCAAGCGUUGUCCGGAAUUAUUGGGCGUAAAGAGCUCGUAGGCGGCUUGUCGCGUCGGAUGUGAAAGCCCGGGGCUUAACUCCGGGUCUGCAUUCGAUACGGGCAGGCUAGAGUUCGGUAGGGGAGAUCGGAAUUCCUGGUGUAGCGGUGAAAUGCGCAGAUAUCAGGAGGAACACCGGUGGCGAAGGCGGAUCUCUGGGCCGAUACUGACGCUGAGGAGCGAAAGCGUGGGGAGCGAACAGGAUUAGAUACCCUGGUAGUCCACGCCGUAAACGUUGGGAACUAGGUGUGGGCGACAUUCCACGUCGUCCGCGCCGCAGCUAACGCAUUAAGUUCCCCGCCUGGGGAGUACGGCCGCAAGGCUAAAACUCAAAGGAAUUGAC
rnacentral:rRNA from 1 species